UACGUAGGACCCAAGCGUUAUCCGGAGUGACUGGGCGUAAAGAGUUGCGUAGGUGGUCCGUAAAGCAAAUAGUGAAAUCUGGUGGCUCAACCAUUCAGGCUAUUAUUUGAACUCACGGACUCGAGAACAGCAGAGGUAACUGGAAUUUCUGAAGUAGGGGUAAUAUCCGUAGAUAUCAGAAGGAACACCAAUGGCGUAGGCAGGUUACUGGGCUGUUUCUGACACUGAGGCACGAAAGCGUGGGGAGCGAACCGG
rnacentral:rRNA from 1 species